UGGUCUAGGGGUUAAGACACCAGGCUUGAAACCAGGAGUUGGUGAGUUCUAGUCCCAC
rnacentral:tRNA from 1 species